rnacentral:miRNA from 1 species
UUUGGAGUGAAGGGAGCUCUG